rnacentral:rRNA from 1 species
UGAGGAAUUUUCCGCAAUGGGCGAAAGCCUGACGGAGCAAUGCCGCGUGAAGGAAGACGCCUUUCGGGGUGUAAACUUCUUUUAUCAGGGAAGAAGACAUGACGGUACCUGAUGAAUAAGCAUCGGCUAACUACGUGCCAGCAGCCGCGGUAAUACGUAGGAUGCAAGCGUUAUCCGGAAUUAUUGGGCGUAAAGCGUGUGUAGGCUUCUGCGUAAGUUUCUCGUUAAAGCCCAGGGCUCAACUCUGGAAUCGUGAGAAAGACUGCGCGGAUGGAGGUACGGAGAGGCAGAUGGAAUUCCUAGUGUAGCAGUGAAAUGCGUAGAUAUUAGGAAGAACACCAAUGGCGAAGGCAGUCUGCUGGCCGUAAUCUGACGCUGAGACACGAAAGCGUGGGGAGCGAACGGGAUUAGAUACCCCCGUAGUCC